rnacentral:snRNA from 1 species
AGAUAUGAGAGCGAUCUGGCCUGGACAUCUGUCACCCUUUUGAUUGCCAGGGUUUAUUGAGAUGAUCUUUCUGGCCAGACCAGUGUCCCCUUCCUCCCUCACACUCCCUGUGCAUCCCCCCCCAAAGCUGCACAAUUGGUGGAAGAGGAUGACCACCCCUGAUAGAGGAGGACCGUUUCCUUGAUCAAGGGUAUAAGAGUAGCUGUGCUCCCCUGCUAGAACUUCCAAACAAGCUCUCAAAAGAGUGACUAUCAAAACAUAAACAUGUGUCAUUAAAAAUUAUUAUGAUCAAACAC